rnacentral:lncRNA from 1 species
CUCCCGUGUGCUCCCGGGGCCCCUCACACGCUCCCAUGUUCUCCCACGUGCUCCUGUGCUCUCCUGUGUCCUCCCGUGUGCUCACAUGUGCUCCCGGGGCCCCCCAUGUGCUCCCGUGUGCUCCCGUGUGCUCCCAUGUGCUCCCAGGGCCCCCCGUGUGCUCCCGUGUGCUCCCGUGACCCCUCAUGCACUCCCAUGUGCUCCUGUGUGCUCCUACAUUCUCCCGUGUGCUCCUGUGUCCCUUCCCGUGUUCCCAUGUGCUCCCAGGGUCCCUCACAUGCUCCCGUGUCCUCCCGUGUUCUCCCGUGUCCCUUCAUGUGCUCCUGCGUGCUCCCGGGGCUCCCCGUGUGCUCCCGGGACCCUUUGUGUGCUCUCAGGGCCCUUCAUGCACUCACAUGUGCUCCCGUGUGCUCCCGUGUCCCUUCCUGUGCUCCCGUGUGCUCCCGGGGCCCCCCAUGUCCUUCCGUGUGUUCCCAUGUGCUCCCAUGACCCCUCAUGCACUCCCAUGCGCUCCCGUGUGCUCCCGCGUUCUCCCGUGUGCUCCCAGGGCCCUUCGUGUGCUCCCGUGCCCACCCGUGUGCUCCCGUGCCCACCUGGGCCCUCCCGUGUGCUCCCAUGUCCUCCUGUGUGCUCCCAUGUCCCCUCCCGUGCUCCCGUGGGCUCCCGUGGGCUCCCGUGCCCGCCCGUGUGCUCCCACGUGCUCCCGUGUCCACUCAUGCACUCCCGAGUGCUCCCGUGCUCUCCCGUGUGUUCCUGUGUUCUCCCGCAUGCUCUCGGACCCCCCACGUGUGUGCGGGCGUGCGGAGGCGUGUGGGGUGCUCCCGAACCCCCCCACGCGUGUGCGGGGGUGUGUGGGAGGCGUGUAGGGUGCUCCCGAACCCCCCCACGCGUGUGCAGGCGUGUGGAGGCGUGUGGGGUGCUCCCGGACCCCUAUGCGUGUGGAGGCGUGUGCAGGCGUGUGGGAGGCGUGUGGGGUGCUCCCGAACCCCCCCACGUGUGUGCGGAGGCGUGUGGGAGGCGUGUAGGGUGCUCCCGGACCCCCCCAUGCGUGUGCAGGCGUGCGGGAGGCGUGUGGGGUGCUCCCAGACCCCUAUGCGUGUGGAGGCAUGUGGAGGCGUGUGAGAGGUGUGUG